UUAAUAAGGCUCAUUAAGGGCCAGGGCCAACUGUUGCCUGAAUAAGGGGUAA
rnacentral:ncRNA from 1 species